CACGUAGGGGGCAAGCGUUUGUCCGGAUUUAUUGGGCGUAAAGAGCUCGUAGGCGGUUCGGUAAGUCGGGUGUGAAACCUCCAGGCUCAACCUGGAGACGCCACCCGAUACUGCUGUGACUAGAGUCCGGUAGGGGAGCGUGGAAUUCCUGGUGUAGCGGUGAAAUGCGCAGAUAUCAGGAGGAACACCGAUGCGAAGGCAGAUCUCUGGGCCGUAACUGACGCUGAGGAGCGAAAGCAUGGGGAGCGAACAGG
rnacentral:rRNA from 1 species